rnacentral:rRNA from 1 species
CCUUAGAGUUUGAUCCUGGCUCAGGACGAACGCUGGCGGCGCGCCUAACACAUGCAAGUCGAACGAGCGAGAGAGAGCUUGCUUUCUCGAGCGAGUGGCGAACGGGUGAGUAACGCGUGAGGAACCUGCCUCAAAGAGGGGGACAACAGUUGGAAACGACUGCUAAUACCGCAUAAGCCCACAGGUCGGCAUCGACCAGAGGGAAAAGGAGCAAUCCGCUUUGAGAUGGCCUCGCGUCCGAUUAGCUGGUUGGUGAGGUAACGGCCCACCAAGGCGACGAUCGGUAGCCGGACUGAGAGGUUGAACGGCCACAUUGGGACUGAGACACGGCCCAGACUCCUACGGGAGGCAGCAGUGGGGAAUAUUGCACAAUGGGGGAAACCCUGAUGCAGCGACGCCGCGUGGAGGAAGAAGGUCUUCGGAUUGUAAACUCCUGUUGUUGAGGAAGAUAAUGACGGUACUCAACAAGGAAGUGACGGCUAACUACGUGCCAGCAGCCGCGGUAAAACGUAGGUCACAAGCGUUGUCCGGAAUUACUGGGUGUAAAGGGAGCGCAGGCGGGAAGACAAGUUGGAAGUGAAAUCUAUGGGCUCAACCCAUAAACUGCUUUCAAAACUGUUUUUCUUGAGUAGCGCAGAGGUAGGCGGAAUUCCCGGUGUAGCGGUGGAAUGCGUAGAUAUCGGGAGGAACACCAGUGGCGAAGGCGGCCUACUGGGCACCAACUGACGCUGAGGCUCGAAAGUGUGGGUAGCAAACAGGAUUAGAUACCCUGGUAGUCCACACCGUAAACGAUGAUUACUAGGUGUUGGAGGAUUGACCCCUUCAGUGCCGCAGUUAACACAAUAAGUAAUCCACCUGGGGAGUACGACCGCAAGGUUGAAACUCAAAGGAAUUGACGGGGGCCCGCACAAGCAGUGGAGUAUGUGGUUUAAUUCGACGCAACGCGAAGAACCUUACCAAGUCUUGACAUCCUGCGACGAUGCUGGAAACAGUAUUUCCCUUCGGGACGCAGAGACAGGUGGUGCAUGGUUGUCGUCAGCUCGUGUCGUGAGAUGUUGGGUUAAGUCCCGCAACGAGCGCAACCCCUAUCUUUAGUAGCCAGCAUAUAAGGUGGGCACUCUAGGGAGACUGCCAGGGAUAACCUGGAGGAAGGUGGGGAUGACGUCAAAUCAUCAUGCCCCUUAUGAUUUGGGCUACACACGUGCUACAAUGGCGUAAACAAAGGGAAGCGACCCCGCGAGGGAGAGCAAAUCUCAAAAAUAACGUCUCAGUUCGGAUUGUAGUCUGCAACUCGACUACAUGAAGCUGGAAUCGCUAGUAAUCAGAGGUCAGCAUACUGCGGUGAAUACGUUCCCG